UGGGGCGUCGCCAAGCGGUAAGGCACCGGACUCUGACUCCGGCAUUUCGUUAGUUCGAAUCCAGCUGCCCCAG
rnacentral:tRNA from 1 species